rnacentral:rRNA from 1 species
UACGGAGGGUGCGAGCGUUAAUCGGAAUUACUGGGCGUAAAGGGUGCGUAGGUGGUUUGAUAAGUUAACUGUGAAAUCCCUGGGCUUAACCUGGGCAGGUCAGUUAAGACUGUUAGACUUGAGUAUAGGAGAGGGUAGUGGAAUUUCCGGUGUAGCGGUGAAAUGCGUAGAGAUCGGAAGGAACACCAGUGGCGAAGGCGGCUACCUGGCCAGAUACUGACACUGAAGCACGAAAGCGUGGGGAGCAAACAGG